GAUGAACGCUGGCGGCGUGCCUAAUACAUGCCAGUCGAGCGAACAGACGAGGAGCUUGCUCCUCUGACGUUAGCGGCGGACGGGUGAGUAACACGUGGAUAACCUACCUAUAAGACUGGGAUAACUUCGGGAAACCGGAGCUAAUACCGGAUAAUAUAUUGAACCGCAUGGUUCAAUAGUGAAAGACGGUUUUGCUGUCACUUAUAGAUGGAUCCGCGCCGCAUUAGCUAGUUGGUAAGGUAACGGCUUACCAAGGCAACGAUGCGUAGCCGACCUGAGAGGGUGAUCGGCCACACUGAAACUGAGACACGGUCCAGACUCCUACGGGAGGCAGCAGUAGGGAAUCUUCCGCAAUGGGCGAAAGCCUGACGGAGCAACGCCGCGUGAGUGAUGAAGGUCUUCGGAUCGUAAAACUCUGUUAUUAGGGAAGAACAAAUGUGUAAGUAACUAUGCACGUCUUGACGGUACCUAAUCAGAAAGCCACGGCUAACUACGUG
rnacentral:rRNA from 1 species